rnacentral:piRNA from 2 species
UGCUACCUGCCUGCGUAUGUAAUGGUGGCU